rnacentral:rRNA from 1 species
CCUACGGGAGGCAGCAGUAAGGAAUAUUGGUCAAUGGGCGGAAGCCUGAACCAGCCAUGCCGCGUGCAGGAAGACGGCCCUACGGGUUGUAAACUGCUUUUGUACCGGAAUAAACCUUGAUAUGUAUAUCAAGCUGAAUGUACGGUAAGAAUAAGGAUCGGCUAACUCCGUGCCAGCAGCCGCGGUAAUACGGAGGAUCCAAGCGUUAUCCGGAUUUAUUGGGUUUAAAGGGUGCGUAGGUGGCUUAUUAAGUCAGGGGUGAAAGACGGUAGCUUAACUAUCGCAGUGCCUUUGAUACUGAUGAGCUUGAAUCCACUAGAGGUAGGCGGAAUGUGACAAGUAGCGGUGAAAUGCAUAGAUAUGUCACAGAACACCAAUUUGCGAAGGCAGCUUACUAUGGUGGUAUUGACACUGAGGCACGAAAGCGUUGGGGAUCAAACAGGAUUAGAUACCCUGGUAGUCCACGCCCUAAACGAUGAAUACUCGGAUGUUGGCCGAUAUACGUACGUAGCGUCUACGUACGAAGACGUAAGUAAGUUACCGUACCGUACGGGUAGGUACGGUAACCGGCCGACGGUUAGGAACGUACGUUAAGGAAAGUUAGUUACGGCGNGAGAGAGCGACGGACGACGACGAGGAGGAGG